CGUCAUCAAGAAAAAUCGUGGCAGUCGAUCCAGCAACCAAUGGUCGGCGGCCGGCCGCGGCUGGACGAGCCCAUCCUCCCCGCGGCCCGCUCCUCGCGGCCGCUGGCCAAGGCCACCCCCGGCGGCUAAAGCUCCUCGCAGCGCCGCUCCGCCCCUCUUCCCGCGCACCUGCCGCGGCCGCCGCUCCGCCGCGCCCUGGACGCCCCGCCGCGGGAUCUGGGUGGCGCGCUCGAGCAGAGGCCCCGACGCGAAGACGGCACCCGACUUGCGCGCGCCAUCACCGGGUCCCGACGCCGCCGCGCGCCUCCGCCUCCGCCUCCGCGGCCCACCUCGCCGCGCCGCCGGGAUCCGCCGGGGAGGACCGAUCUGGAGCUCUGGCCAUGGAGCCUCCGCCUCGCCGCCGAAGGGAGGUGGCAGGGGAGCCCGUCCGCCUACGCGUGCGUUGCAGGCCUCCACGGCCGUCGCCGCCGCAGGCCCCGCAGAGGAGGCCGCUGCCGUUGUGGCCCCGCGCGGAGGAAGCCGUGGAGGGAAGGAGGCCGGCCCGCCGCCGCUGCGGAGCUCGAGCUCCAGCCAGGCGGCCGCAUCGAAUCAAGGGAGAAGCCGCGCCCGCCGCGCCACUACUUGGGUUGCCGUCGUGGCCCAGGCGGUGCUCGCUGUCGCCCGGGGAUAGAGGAAGGGGCCGGUGAAGUGGGGGGCGCUAGAUGGCGGAGCUCUGCGGACGAGGGGGAAGAGCGCGGCCGUCACGGGGAGCAAGGGUGCGGCCGGCACUGAAGUUCCGGCACGCGCUCCGGAGCUCCCCCGCGGCCGAGCUCACCGGCCUCCUGUUCAUUGGGCUUGCACGCGCCAAGAUGCACCCCACUUUGACCGGCUAACAGGCGCUCGCCGCUUCGUCGUGCUCGCCCGUCGCCCGUCGCCCGACGAAUCCAGCGCCUCCGACCGCGGGCACAACACAGCAUGGGGCACAGACGCUGUUCAGCGGCGAGUCCAUCGCGUUCAUGGUGGUCGGCGGCAACAGAAGGCCUUGCAAUUAAUGGCGCCACGCAAGCGAGGCAGCGGCAAGGAGCAUGCCGACAUGCGGCCAGCCGGCGGUGAAGCGCCUCGACCACCACGGCGUGCACAUGCGGUAGCGCCGUAGCGGAGCAAUUGCAAUUCACAAUUUAAAGAUAACUAUGGAUCAUGGUGGAUAGCUCAAACCUACAGCAACACAAGGGAUCUGCACUUCUACAGGAAAUAAAUAUCAACUCUUUGUUCAACAGUUUACAGCUACGGUUAUGAUCUGCAACCAACAUUUGUAACUGAACAUGGCCAACGACUGGUCACGGGAUUUCGCUGGCACCUUGCUUACUAGCUUUGAUAUGCUUUCCUUCCUCUUUUAUGAGCACAAAUGAUAACCUUUGAAGGUUCAAUUUAUAUGAUCCACAACUUUGUAUUAAAUAUGUAACUUUAUCAAGGUAUCAUGUACUAUUUGCAUACACUCAGAAUCCAUGAAUCACAUAAAUAUAAUACUACCACAAAUA